AUCUAGCUGGAGAGUUCCGAAUAGGACGAAACACGCGUCCUGGAU
rnacentral:hammerhead_ribozyme from 1 species